GCGUCCUUAGUUCAGUUGGUAGAACGCAGGUCUCCAAAACCUGAUGUCCUAGUUCAAUCCUAGAGGGCGUG
rnacentral:tRNA from 1 species